AUUGAACGCUGGCGGCAGGCCUAACACAUGCAAGUCGAACGAGUGGCGGACGUGUGAGUAAUGUCUGGGAAACUGCCUGAUGGAGGGGGAUAACUACUGGAAACUGUAGCUAAUACCGCAUACCAUCAGAUGUGCCCCGAUGGGUUUAGCUUGUUGGUGGGGUAACGGCUCACCAAGGCGACGAUCCCUAGCUGGGUUGAGAGGAUGACCAGCCACACUGGAACGGGUACACGGUCCCGACUCCUCCGGGAGGCAGCAGUGGGGAAUAUUGCACAAUGGGCGCAAGCCUGAUGCAGCCAUGCCGCGUGUAUGAAGAAGGCCUUCGGGUUGUAAAGUACUUUCAGCGGGGAGGCGUUACCCGAAGAAGAAGCACCGGCUAACUCCGUGCCAGCAGCCGCGGUAAUUC
rnacentral:rRNA from 1 species